rnacentral:rRNA from 1 species
UACGGAGGGUGCAAGCGUUGUCCGGACUUAUUGGGUUUAAAGGGUGCGUAGGCGGUUCUUUAAGUCAGUGGUGAAAUACUGCAGCUCAACUGUAGCAUUGCCAUUGAUACUGAAGAACUUGAGUACAGAUGAGGUAGGCGGAAUUUAUGGUGUAGCGGUGAAAUGCAUAGAUACCAUAAAGAACACCGAUUGCGAAGGCAGCUUACUAAGCUGUAACUGACGCUGAGGCACGAAAGCGUGGGGAGCGAACAGG